rnacentral:lncRNA from 1 species
GGACCUCUUUGGACAGGAAACAAACUAAACCUCUGUUAUUUAAAGCACUUUUUGUUGGGUGUUCUGUCACAGCUGAAAGUAUAACUCAUAGAAAAAUUAUAACUCGUAGAAUAACCUCAACCUGAGGUCAGCAGUGGGCCCUGCUCCUGGGAUGUUGUUGUGCUUACUCUGGGAACAAGGCCGCCACUAUCUGGAACAUCACUGGUAGCCAUGCAAAGGGAGAAGAGAAAAUGGAGAAGCGUGCUGUGACUCUUAAAGCUUCUACCUGACGCAGUGAGAAGACAGCGUCUGUGAACCAGGAAGCAGGCCUUCACCCGAUGCUGAAUCUGUUGAUGCCUUCAUCUUGGACUUCCCAGCCUCCAGUUCUCCAGACUGUGAGAACUAAAUUUCUGUGGUUUAUCAGGAGACUGAGAAAGAGCCUUCCGAGAAGUAGGAGAAAACAGGAAAGUGCAUUGUGA